rnacentral:rRNA from 1 species
GACAGAGGGGGCAAGCGUUGCUCGGAAUUACUGGGCGUAAAGGGCGCGUAGGCGGGAUGGCAAGUCGGGGGUGAAAGCCCGAGGCUCAACCUCGGAACUGCCUUCGAUACUGCGGGUCUCGAGUCCGGGAGAGGUGAGUGGAAUUCCUAGUGUAGAGGUGAAAUUCGUAGAUAUUAGGAAGAACACCGGUGGCGAAGGCGGCCCAACUGGUCCGGUACUGACGCUG